UGAUUAUGGUGCUUGCUUAAGAUUAUAUGUAAAAGAAAUUUUGAUGGGGGGAAAUGAAACAAUCCUAGUUUAAGUGAGAUAUCAAAAUUUUAGUAGAACUUUAAAGACUUUUAGAUGUUAUACGGAUGUUAUAUGGAUAAUUCAAUCAAGUGAAGUUAUAACACUAAGUUUGUCAUAUGUACUAAGAGCUACGUGGGCCUGAUCAUCCUUCUUAGGAGGUACAUAAGUAGCCUUUGGGUGCGGUCAAAGAUAGGUAAAUUUUUCUGCAGUUGGAAACACAAUUGAGUUUUGAGUUAUUGUUCUUUGGUAAUAUUAUAUUAUUAUUUAAAUGAUGCGACUUACUGGUAUGCUCGUUUAUUUAUUUUCAUGUCUUUUAUAUGCUUAACGUUUGAGUUGAUUGUUUGAUUUAUUAGAAUGACUUUAUCUAUGUUAUAUUUACUUAGAAAUUUUCAGAGGUUACAUAAAUUAUGUACAUAUGAGGAAAUUCUAGCUAAAAGAACCAAUACUCUAUACUAGCAUGCCUUAUUACUUUGUCCUAGUAUCUUAAUAUAUAAAUUGAUUUUGUUGAUGCCAUUUUAUUUAUUUAUUUAUUUAUUAAAUUCAACAGGAUAAGUAAAAUCAUGAGAAAUAUUUUAUUUAGCUAAGUACAUUAGAUUUG
rnacentral:misc_RNA from 1 species